AGUAGGCACUUAAUAAAUGUUUGUUCCUCUUUCCUUCCUUAAGAUUCCUUCCUGCACUGUCAUUUUGUAUUGCAAAGGACCAAACCUGAUCCUCUUAUGAAAUUAUAACUUCAUUAGGGGGCAAAUGGAAGCUGAUGAUGGAGAAAGAAAAAGAAAGAGAGAAAGAAAGGAGGAAAGAGAGAAAGAGAAGGAAAGAGAGAAAGAGAGAGAAAGGAAGAAAGGAAGAAGGAAGGAAGGAAGAAAGGAAGAAAGGAAGAAAGGAAGAAAGAAAGAAAGAAAGAAAGAAAGAAAGAAAGAAAGAAAGAAAGAAAGAGAGAGAGAGAGAGAGAGAAAGAAGGAAGGAAGGAAGGAAGGAAGAAAGAAAGAAAGAAAGAAAGAAAGAAAGAAAGAAAGAAAGAAAGAAAGAAAGAAAGAAAGAAAGAAAGAAAGAAAGAAAGAAAGAAAGAAAGAAAGAAAGAAAGAAAGAAAGAAAGAAAGAGAAAGAAAGAGAGAGAGAGAGAGAAAGAGGGAGAGAAAA
rnacentral:lncRNA from 1 species